rnacentral:rRNA from 1 species
GAUGAACGCUGGCGGCGUGCCUAACACAUGCAAGUCGAGCGAACGGACGAGAAGCUUGCUUCUCUGAUGUUAGCGGCGGACGGGUGAGUAACGCGUGGAUAACCUACCUAUAAGACUGGGAUAACUUCGGGAAACCGGAGCUAAUACCGGAUGAUAUUUUCAACCGCAUGGUUCAAAAGUGAAAGACGGUCUUGCUGUCACUUAUAGAUGGAUCCGCGCUGCAUUAGUUAGUUGGUAAGGUAACGGCUUACCAAGGCAACGGUGCAUAGCCGACCUGAGAGGGGGAGCGGCCCCGCGGGAAGGAGACCCCGGACCGACACCGAGAGGGGGGCAAGAUGGGGAAUUUGGGCGGAAGGGGGGAAGGCUGAAAGAGGAAACCCGGCGUGAUGUAGAAAGGCUUCGGGUGGGAAAACCCUUUUUUUGGGGGAAAAAAAUAGCUGGAGGACACGGGGCUCUUCUGACGGUACCUGAAGAAGAAGCCCCGGCUAACUUCGGG